rnacentral:rRNA from 1 species
GAUGAACGCUAGCUACAGGCUUAACACAUGCAAGUCGCGGGGCAGCAUGGGGGUUGCUUGCAUCCCCUGAUGGCGACCGGCGCACGGGUGAGUAACGCGUAUCCAACCUGCCCUUCACCACGGGAUAACCCGGCGCAAGUCGGACUAAUACCGUAUGUUGUCCAUUGACGGCAUCCGAUUUGGACGCAUGGCUUGGCUGUGAAAGGUUGGGUAUGCGUCCGAUUAGUUUGUCGGCGGGGUAACGGCCCACCGUGGGUACGAUAGGUAGGGGUGAUGAGAGGAAGGUCCCCCACAGUGGAACUGAGACACGGUCCAGACAACUACGGGAGGAAGGAGUGAGGAAUAUUGGUCAAUGGGCGUAAGCCUGAACCAGCCAAGUAGCGUGCAGGAUGACGGCCCUAUGGGUUGUAAACUGCUUUUAUGCGGGGAUAAAGUGGCCCACGUGUGGGCUUUUGCAGGUACCGCAUGAAUAAGGACCGGCUAAUUCCGUG